rnacentral:lncRNA from 1 species
UUUGUAACUUGUGUUGUUCCUAAUUAUGGUAUUAACCAGUCAAUGUUUUAAUUUUUUUCUUAUUCUGGAAGAUGAAUAAGGCCAGAAAUUUAUAAAUAGACUACACCACAUUACGAGUUUCUGCGCUUCUUCAAAAGACAGGAUGCCAGAGAGAAGACGUUUUGGAGAUAGAAUCUGUUAUCAGUCUAAGUGCCCAACCUGAGCACGGUGGCCUUGGAGAAGAAGCGACGUGGCAUCCUGCUACUCCCCUGCACUGAACAACUUCCCUCUCGAAGGAGGCACCUGAGGAAGAAACAGCGGAUCCUCAUUUGUAAGCAAGGGGGGAGGGGA